rnacentral:rRNA from 1 species
ACAUCCAGAGAACUUAGCAGAGAUGCUUUGGUGCCUUCGGGAACUCUGAGACAGGUGCUGCAUGGCUGUCGCCAGCUCGUGUUGUGAAAUGUUGGGUUAAGUCCCGNAACGAGCGCAACCCUUAUCCUUUGUUGCCAGCGGUUCGGCCGGGAACUCAAAGGAGACUGCCGGUGAUAAACCGGAGGAAGGUGGGGAUGACGUCAAGUCAUCAAUGGCCCUUACGGCCAGGGCUACACACGUGCUACAAUGGCGCAUACAAAGAGAAGCGACCUCGCGAGAGCAAGCGGACCUCAUAAAGUGCGUCGUAGUCCGGAUUGGAGUCUGCAACUCGACUCCAUGAAGUCGGAAUCGCUAGUAAUCGUAGAUCAGAAUGCUACGGUGAAUACGUUCCCGGGCCUUGUACACACCGCCCGUCACACCAUGGGAGUGGGUUGCAAAAGAAGUAGGUAGCUUAACCUUCGGGAGGGCGCUUACCACUUUGUGAUUCAUGACUGGGGUGAAGUCGUAACAAGGUAAGCGUAGCGAG